CCUGUGACUGGGUCAAUCCAUUGGAAAGCGAAUAAGUGCUGGCUCCCCUCCGCUAGGCGGCAGCAAAAGAACGCGUCUUUCAAGUCGAGUACAGAGAAGUAUUUCGCAUCAGGGGGGAUUAAACUCAGCAGAGUGUAAGGAUUGGGGACGUUGGGGUGGAGGGUUUCCACAGCUGAAUUCACCAGCCUCAGAUCUUGGACCGGACGGUAGCCACCUCCCUCUUUCUUUACUGGAAGCAAGGGAGUGUUCCACUGGGAUUGACAGGGCUUCAAGAUGCCAUGUUGUAGGAGCCUAUGCAGGUGAGUCCACACUCCUUCUGCUGCCGCUCGAGGGAUGGGGUACUGGUUCACAGCCACCGGAUUCACGAAGGGCUUCGUCCUUACAAUUAUUGGGGGUAUAUUUUUAGCCAUGCCAGGAGGGUUGCCUUCAGCCCAUACUUCAGGAUUUACUUGUUCUAAGAGGCUGGUUGGAAUGGGCCCCUCCUCUUCUUUUAUCAUCAUGAGGCGCCAAUACUCCCUCAGGGGUGCUUCCACAACCAAUUCUCCAGGUGGCAUUGUGGACAUGGUGGCCUCUCCGGAUGGUUUAAAAGUGAUCUGGGCUUGUAAUUUGGACAACAAGUCUCUUCCCAGCAAUGGAAUAGGGCAUUCAGGAACAUACAGAAAAUUAUGCUGCACCACUUGGCCUCCUAAUUUGCAGGUGACCGGUUGUAGAAAUGGUGCCUGCUGGGACUUUCCAGUGGCUCCCACUAUAUUAAUGAAUUCUGUAGUUAGUUUUGCAACGGGGGUUGGGACGACCGAGUAAGCCGCGCCUGUGUCAACCAUAAAAGGAAUCAUGUGGUUCCCUGCUUGCAUUUUGACCAUGGGCUCACGGGAACCUAAAUUAGUUGGGCCCGGUCUGUCCUAAUAUUCAUCCUGGUGUUGCUGCAGGCUCAUGGCUUCAGCCUGUCCUCGGUUCCCAGGCGGGUACCAAAGGCCUCCUCUUCCCCUUCCUCGUCCCCUGGAGGGUCCCCAGGCGCAGCCCAGGGUCUUAAGUCAGUGCCAUCUCCCAUGGGGAUGGUGCCAGGAAUCCGGCCUCCCCUGCCUCCAGUCCUUCCCUGAGGGCAUUCGUUCUUCCAGUGGCCCUCUUGGCGGCAGAUGGCGCACUGGUUGCGUCCCAGGCGGCCGCGCCCUCCUCCCGGGCAGGUUCCCCCGUGCCGCUGUUGCUGGCGCGCAGAGCCAUGAGUUUCUUAGCCUGGUAAUUUUCUUUCUUCUUCUGGGCUACCUCAUCUCUCUGGUUAUACGUGGUUUGUGCCACCUCUAACAUCCACUCCAGCCCAUGUCCUAAAAACCCUUCGGUUUUUGAAUUUUUCUGCGAAUAUCGGGAGUGGCUUGGGCCACAAAGGCUGCCUUAACAACCGGAGCAUUGGCAGGAUCGUCUGGGUCCAGAGGGGUAAACUGCCGGUAGGCUUCCUUCAGACGCUCCAAAUAAACCCCUGGCGACUCAUCUGAUUUCUGGACCACCUCAGCCACCUUAGCCAAGUUAGUAGGCUUCCUAGCUGCCCUCCUCAUUCCUGCCAGUACAUGGUUCCUGUAUGUUGCCAGGGCAGUCCGAGCAUUCUGAUCCUGAUAGUCCCAAUUAGGAGUGGCUCGGGGGUAGGCAUCAUUUAUUUGGUUAUCAUUUAAUUGUAACUGCCUCAGAUGCGCCCUUGCCUCACUAUGGACCCUCCGGACUUCUUCCGUUGUUAACAGAGAGUCCAAAAGAUAUUGAACAUCAUCAUAAGUAGGAUCAUAAGUCUUAAAGAUCCCUUCAAAAAGUUUAAUGAUUUUGGCUGGGUUCUCCUCAAAGGAAGGGUUCUGAUUGCGCCAAUUGCAAAUAUCAGCAGUUGAAAAAGGCACAUGUUGGAUUGUGUAGGUGCGCGGUGCUGCUGCCCCAUUCUCCCCUGGCGGUCCUGGGGGGUCAUAAACUACCCGGAGGGGCAUCAAGGCUGUAGCCUGAUCUUUCUUCUCUCUCUCUCUCUCAUGGUGGGUGGCGGCUCUACGUGCUGCCUCCAGCCACCUCUUUUGUUUCUUUUUCCAGUGCCCAUCCUCACAACGUGCCACUUCUAAGAGGUGGGGACUAACAUCCACUUGGUCUUUAUAGGGGUCUACAUAGUCCUUUAUCCAUUUGUCUUGCUUCUUACUCCACUUCUCCCCUUCUGUACCUUCUUUUCCAACAUCUUUAACAGUGUCUCCUCAUCCCCCUCAUCAUCAUCACUUUCAUCCUCCUUAGCUGUCUCUGAUUUGGUGGGGUCUUUAUCCUCAGGGCUUGGGUUGAUAGGGCUGCCACCAACUGGGUUGGGGGGAUUAUUCUGGAGGUUAUUCUGCAGGGGUGGGCCAUUCUGUGGUACUGCCGGUAUUGGGGGUCUAUAAGGAGGUGGUCUCACAGCUAAUUCCUCUUCUGUGUCCUGAACCACAAGAGGUAAUUUCUGCUGCCGGACAGCACAGAUCCUUGCCUUUGCUGGAGCAGUUCGGCAAGCCUGCAGCCAAGGGGGGUUUUUAUCCACAUUGGUUUUCCACGUGGAAAUAUAGGGAAUUUGAUCUGGAUGGUCUUCAAUUAUUCUCUGCAGCAAGGGAUUGAUCAACCGCCCCUCAAAACUGCCUUGGGACGGCCAGGCAGUGCCCUGCGUCGGCCAGUCCACUUCACAAAGGGUCCUAAGCCUCUCCUUCUUCAAUUUGAACCCCCAGUCGUCAUUUUUCGUGGCCAAUUUCCAGUUGUUCAGGAAGCAUUCCAAAGGGGUACAUUUACUGUUUCCUGAACCCAUGUUUACCAGAAUACUCCGCUCCUAGCCAAAAUCAACACCUUGCCCACUUCACACACUACAGCCUGUGGCUUAGACGAGUACAGCCCUAGACACGCUUGGCCACGGAGACGCUAAGCCCCGACCUCUCACACAUUCAUCCUUUCACUGGAGUAUUUGGUCAUACAACACACAGUUCACCUCCACACCCUCACAGUCCACCUCCACCCUUUUUCCCUUUCCACAGACUGGCAAAGGGACCCCCCCUUUUUUACCCUUUUCCUUUCCCACACACUGGCAGCAGGACCUCACUGUCCCAGCCAAGCCUUCCUGGGGGCACUUAAUUGCCACACUCCAGGUGAGAUUGAUCAGAUCUCCUGCUCUUUUCUUUCCCAAGAGCUUACCUCUAUGUCCUGAGACACACCCUGUGUCCUCCCUCGGCCGAUCCCUUUUUCUCCCACGACCGGACGUCUCCACUCAGGAACGGAGUGAGGGAAUCCUCCCGCAACUGGCGGGCGCGCGCUGGAACCUCCUACGCCGAUCCAAGCUGUUCGUCCAGUCGAGCCUGGCCUUCAAGAUCAAACAGCAGGAGAGGUGGGUUUCCCGGCCAACGCACCAGAUAUGUUAGGAUAUCUGAUCCUAAGGGGUCCGGUUCCAGUCACCUGCCCCUG
rnacentral:lncRNA from 1 species